rfam:Ixodes scapularis strain Wikel colony gcontig_1107728736188, whole genome shotgun sequence.
UCCGGCGUGGUCUAGUGGCAAGGACAUCUGGCUUUCACCCAGGAGGCCCGGGUUCGAUUCCUGGCGUCGGAA